CGUGCUUAACACAUGCAAGUCGAACGAGAAAGUUUCCUUCGGGAAAUGAGUAGAGUGGCGCACGGGUGAGUAACACGUAGAUGAUCUACCCUUUGCUAGGGAACAACCCCGGGAAACCGAGGCUAAUUCCGUAUAAGUCUACCGAACUGCGGUUCAGUAGAGAAAGGUGACCUCUUCAUGAAAGUUAUCGGCGAAGGAUGAGUCUGCGUAUCAUUAGCUUGUUGGUAGGGUAAAAGCCUACCAAGGCUACGAUGAUUAGCUGGUCUGAGAGGAUGAUCAGCCACACUGGAACUGAGACACGGUCCAGACUCCUACGGGAGGCAGCAGUGGGGAAUAUUGCGCAAUGGGCGAAAGCCUGACGCAGCAACGCCGCGUGAGUGAUGAAGGUUUUCGGACUGUAAAACUCUGUCAGAGGAGACGAAUACCCGUCUGGAAUAAUACCCAGGCGGUUUGACGGUAUCUUCAGAGGAAGCACCGGCUAACUCCGUGCCAGCAGCCGCGGUAAUACGGAGGGUGCAAGCGUUGUUCGGAAUUACUGGGCGUAAAGCGUGUGUAGGCGGAUUCGGUAGUCGGGUGUGAAAGCCCUGGGCUCAACCCAGGAAGUGCGCCCGAAACCACGGAUCUUGAGUUCCGGAGGGGAUCGGGGAAUUCCCAGUGUAGAGGUGAAAUUCGUAGAUAUUGGGAGGAACACCGGCGGCGAAGGCGCCGAUCUGGACGGACACUGACGCUGAGACACGAAAGCGUGGGUAGCAAACAGGAUUAGAUACCCUGGUAGUCCACGCCGUAAACGAUGUGCACUAGGUGUCGGGGGUAUUGACCCCCUCGGUGCCGACGCUAACGCAUUAAGUGCACCGCCUGGGAAGUACGGCCGCAAGGCUGAAACUCAAAGGAAUUGACGGGGGCCCGCACAAGCGGUGGAGUAUGUGGUUCAAUUCGACGCAACGCGAACAACCUUACCCAGGCUUGACUUCUGGAGAAUCCCCUAGAAAUAGGGGAGUGCCCUUUCGGGGAAUUCCAAGACAGGUGCUGCAUGGCUGUCGUCAGCUCGUGUCGUGAGAUGUUGGGUUAAGUCCC
rnacentral:rRNA from 1 species